CCGCCGCGGUAAAACGAGGGGGGCAAGCGUUGUUCGGAAUUAUUGGGCGUAAAGGGUGCGUAGGCGGGUUGGCAAGUCUUGUGUGAAAUCUUCGGGCUCAACCCGAAGCCUGCACGGGAAACUGCCGGGCUUGAGUAUUGGAGAGGUGAGUGGAAUUUCCGGUGUAGCGGUGAAAUGCGUAGAUAUCGGAAGGAACACCUGUGGCGAAAGCGGCUCACUGGACAAUAACUGACGCUGAUGCACGAAAGCUAGGGGAGCAAACAGGAUUAGAUACCCCCGUAGUCCCUGUCUCUUAUACACA
rnacentral:rRNA from 1 species